GCCCUGCAACCCCUUCUAUUUUCCACGACCUCUUGGCAGAUUGAGGGCUGUCCUUGUUCAGACCCUUGCCUAAGGAGUGAGCAGGCAUCUCAGGCUCCUGUGGCUGCACCUGAACUGCAUUGGUGAGAGCGCUGGAAGGCAUCUGAUCAUGAAUGGGUAAAGGGUCCAACUGCUUGGCAUCAGACUAGGGUGACUUGUGGAAGUUGGUUGACUGGCAGCUCGGAAGGUUCAGAGCUUCAGUCCAUUAUCAUCAUGGUGGAAAGCAUGGCAGCAUCCAGGCAGGCAUGGCACUGGAGAAGUGGAGAGUCCUACAUCCUGAUAUGAAGGCAGCCAGGAGAAGACUAAUGGUCUGAAAGCCCACCCACCCCUGCAGUGACACACUUCCUCCAACUAGGCCAUGCCUCCUAAGAGUGUCACUCCCUAUGGGCCAAGCAUAUUCAAGCUACCAUAACUAGGGUGUGGGGUGGGUGUGGGUGCGGGAUGUUCUGAAUGGCUCGUGGGAUGUCCUUCCCACUGAUGGGAUCAUGUGAGUGUGUGUUGUGUCUGACCAGUAGAUCACAACCUGGGUUCUAGCCUGGAAAGGCAUUUUGGAAACCUGGAAGAGAAGAGGGGCUGGGCUGCGCGAGAUAAGGAAGGAACCAAGACAAAGCUCUCUGCUCAAGGUUCAAUUUUUACUAUUUCGGCACUCAGUUAUAAAGGAAGUGGGAGGGGCCCAAUUCCCGCCAAAUAAUCUUGGAGUCCAGUAGCAGGGUGAUCACGUGAUGGCUUCGGAACAGCAAAGCUGCAGGUUCCAGCAGUGGGCGUGGCAGAACGAUUGAGCUGGCAAGCUCCACCCCUGAGCAAGCAGGUUUCAGACUGGGGGAGGGGAGACUACAAGUGUGGGCACUGGGCAGACUCACUUAUCAGAAACAUCAAGGACAGACUGCAAUUGGUAAGGUGCAUCAGGGUGACAGAAGGACAGUGUGCAACUUUGGACUACAAGGAUUUGGGUUACAGUGUUUCAAAGUCUUACAUUGAGACUCUUGAUGCAUUUGCAGCUUCCUGGUGUGUGGGGUGAGAAGAUGGGGAUCUAGUUUAACGUUCUACAUGUAGACACACUCUGUCUGUUGAAGAUGCUAUCAUCGUCCUAGUGAGUAUUUCUUAGGCCUGGUGGGUAUUGGGGGUUAGAUCCAGGCUCUUGUGCCUGUGCUGCAAGCACUUUAACCAACUAACUAGCCCACCUCCCAGCUCCUGGAUCUUAGAUUAGUAUAUUAGAUCCCUGUUUGACAUACUGAGUCCUAAGUUGGGGCAGUGAUUCCCUCCAACGACUAAGAUUACACCUUUUAAAAGAAAGAGCUCUUUUUUUUUUUUUUGUAGGGUUUGGAGAUGUGUGUGCAUGUAUUUGUGGGUAGAUGUAUGUGCACACCUGUGUUCAGAUGUAUGUGCAUGUGUGUGCAUGUAUGUGGUGGGAUCAGAGGUUACUAUCUUUUGUCUUCUAUUUUAAAAACUGAGUGUGUUAUUUAAUUCUCUCAGGACAGAGAAACAGCCACACGGAGGGCUUUCCUCAACAACACAGGAAGGGAAGCCCUGGUGUUCAUGCCCAGUACUCAGGAACACUGCAACUGUCAAGGACUCCCAACUUAUCCUCAGGCUUUUCUAGGAAAAUCUCUCCUCCCCUGCCUUUGAUGAAGUUGCUACCACAUGGGGUAUGCCCAUCUGCAGGACAUGGAGGAAGGACCCCAGCCAGUAAUCAGCAAGCGUGUGACCGACAGCCUCAACCAAAAUCCCGCCAGAAUUCCAUGAGACAACCUGGAAAUGGGCUGUUCCCCAAUCAAGCCUUUCAAUACAGGCUUGUCAAAGACCCCCAAAGCAGAGAAUGCAAGGUUCAGAGACCGAGACAAUAAGUUAGGUUCUUAACCAAUAAAUUUAAGGUACCCAGUUUUGCCUUCCUGCAUGCCGCAGGGGACGUCUGUCUUCACUGUACCAAAGAUGCCCAGCUGUGAGGGAGGCCCUGUGAGUGCGUAAGGGAACAACAGGUUCAUGUGCUGGGUUCUGUAGGUUUUUCCUCACCUGAAACUGUCUGAAGCUGGAGAACGGUCUUGGAGAACUAGUGCUGCUGCUUUUACAGAGGUCCCCAGAGCUUCAAAGCCACCUGCAAGUCCAGCUCAAAGGGGCCUGGCACCCCCUCUUCUGGCCUCAGAACAACCCAUAAAUACACACAUAUACACACGAAUAAAAAUUCUAAUUGGUGAUCUCCAGAGAGACGCAUCUUCAUCGAGCCAUGAACAACACACCACGAUUGGAAUCCGACCCAUAGUGAUCUGCCAGCACUUCCUGCUCAUGUGCAACCUCAGAAUGCUUCUCAUGUGUCUUUGGUCCAAGUUCUUCUUUGAGAUGGGUCAGCACAGAUGUUGCCCCAGUGUACGCAGCAUUGAGACGUAGCGUAUUUGUAGCAGUAUGAAGAUACUCCUGUUGGAUUGAACUGAGUGUUCAUCACUUCUGGCACGUUCCUGUAUGUGAAGAGCAAGAGAGGAAAUCGGGCCUGCGCCUCCUUACAAGGCAUCACGCAACCCCCCACACAGGAAAGCUUUCUCCUGCCGAGAACCAGCGUGACGAUCUCAUGAGGGACUCUGGCCAGCAGCCUCAGCUCAGCACCUCGGAAAGCUCCGCGUCCUAGGGACAGAGCUUAGACUCCUCCAGGCUUUGCUCAGAGUCUCUCAGGGGCCUCUCCACCAGCCCAGCUAAGGAAAGGCCUGCUGAAGGAGCUUGAGAGGGACCUCAUUCCCUAGGGAAGUAGUGCUCUCUUCUCUCCUCAGCAUCCCCCUUCAGACACGGAGCCAAACUCUAAACUCACCCAAUCCUAUUAACCAAGACUCGCUCCAGGGAGUUCACCGCUUCUGCCUCACCUUUCCGAGGCCUUGACGUUUCCACAGCAACAGAAUGAAGUCAGUAUGAGGUGUGACAGGAACAGGAGAAGCAACCCCUGCACUCAGCAAGGUCCUUGUCUUAAAAUGAAAGCAGUUUCACAGCUGGUAAUGAUUGUGCAGCCGGAUCCCCAUGCGGGACUCCUAAAUCGGGAGCAGGGGCUGUCUCCGACUACACUGCCUGCCUUUGGGUCCCUUCCCCUAACUGGGCUGCCUGGUCUGGCCUCAGUAGAAGUAAUGCCUAGUCUUACUUCGACUUAAUAUGCCAAGGCUGGCUGAUAUCCAUGGGAGACCUCCCCUUUUCUGAGGAGAAGGGAAGAAGGGAAGGGGAGAGGGGGAAAUGGAAGGUGAAGCUGCGAUCCAGAUGUAAAUGAGUUACUUAAUAAAAAAGAAAGAAGAGAGGCUGCAUUUUUAGAGAGAUUUUGGACUUUUACAGACUUCGGAUUUUUUUUAAGGAGAUUGAACUUCUAAAGUGAUUAAAAGGCUGUAGGAUUUUUAAGACUGUAACGUGUUUUAUAAUAUGAUAUUGAUAUUAAUGAGAGCAAAUGAGAAAGAAAAAGGUUAGUUGAAAGGUGAUGUGUUGUAUGUCAGUCUGACAUAAAAUUGUCAACUUGACACUGUCCUGGGCUGUACAAAAAGGGAACAGGCUAUUGCGCCAUGGACGCCUCAAGUCUUCAGGCUAUCACGCCGUGGACACACUCCUC
rnacentral:lncRNA from 1 species